rnacentral:rRNA from 1 species
AGUGAACGCUGGCGGUAGGCCUAACACAUGCAAGUCGAACGGCAGCACAGUAAGAGCUUGCUCUUACGGGUGGCGAGUGGCGGACGGGUGAGGAAUACAUCGGAAUCUACUCUUUCGUGGGGGAUAACGUAGGGAAACUUACGCUAAUACCGCAUACGACCUACGGUUGAAAGCAUGGGAACUUCGGACCUUGCGCGAUUGAAUGAGCCGAUGUCGGAUUAGCUAGUUGGCGGGGUAAAGGCCCACCAAGGCGACGAUCCGUAGCUGGUCUGAGAGGAUGAUCAGCCACACUGGAACUGAGACACGGUCCAGACUCCUACGGGAGGCAGCAGUGGGGAAUAUUGGACAGUGGGCGCAAGCCUGAUCCAGCCAUACCGCGUGGGUGAAGAAGGCCUUCGGGUUGUAAAGCCCUUUUGUUGGGAAAGAAAAGCAGCAGGUUAAUACCCCGCUGUUCUGACGGUACCCAAAGAAUAAGCACCGGCUAACUUCGUG